GGUUGCGUAAUGGGCCGUACCUUGUGGGUCAGUUAUGGUGUGGGAAACACUUUGUCCGGAAAGAGGGUCAAAUCCAGAGAGUAGAAAUCAGCCUUUCACCAGGCUCAGGGCACAAUACACCACUGUUCAUCCUAUAAGCAAAUGUCUCCACUUGCCACCUUCAUAUAAGCAGCUUAUGGCCAUGUGAACUGUACUUACUGCACCUGUUCAUAUUACAGGCUGAUGGUUCUUGCGUCACGACCAACUUAUUAUGGUCUUCCUCUGUGUGUGAGAACAUUUCCCUCUCUUUCUUAUUGAUGCUGUUCCAAGUUAUGUAACUGCACACUAUGCCACAAUAAAGGAUUAGACCAACUUUGAGAAGAUAAGCUUCAUAAUAAUAAUAAUAAGCAGCAGCUCAGAGCUGGUUUUUUAACUUGUGAGAUGUAUAUAUGUAAUCUCCUUUGGUCCUGUUGAGUAGCCCCCUGUCCCACGUGGUGAUUCCUCUCAUAAAGUAAACGUACACUUUUUGUUCAUGCAGUUGUUUGAACACUUAGCUCCAAUCUCAGCCGGCCUCUGUCUUUUCCCACCCUGUUCUUUUCCUCUCUAGAUAUCCUGUUUAUAUGACACGCGCAGUUGUAGAAAUAUUGCGGAAACUGGGACACAUUUCAAGAUACAAUACACACUUGAUUCUAGUGUGUGUAUGAAGAAAAGGUUUUGACAGCAUUUUUGUAAAUAUUAACUUUGCUCAAGGCUGGGUCCGUCCACAUGCCAGCUUGGAUCUUAAAGAGAUCAACUGGGUAUUAAGGUUGUUUUUUUUAAAUACACUUAGCUAAGGAUAACUGGGUUUCUUUAUUUAAGUGUAACAUGUGCAAUCAUGUCUUGCCAAUUUAUGUGUAUAUUUCCUUGUGCCGCUAUAUCUGUGUGUACACAGCGUAGGUCGGAAACGGGUUGGACCACAGCGGCAGUGGAAGGAACAGGCUCUGCGUUUCUCCUUGGAGACAGCCCACCGAGAGCUAGGACCAACCAGGGGAAAUAUGGAGGUGAAAGAUCUGUCAUGAGAAGAUGAGGACAAAUGGGUUUGUUAGGACCAAGUGGCAACCCUAGUGUGACGUCACCCGUUGGUUGCUGUUUGGAAGCCGUGAGUUUCGCAUUCCAGUGCCAUCUUGGUUUUUUGGAAACAGAGAGCUCAUCCACUGCGCGCCCACCUGCAACCAUGCACCGAUUGGAUGGACCAGCUGUCAAUCACGCUGUGUCCCUGCUAUAAUUCGAUGCUUUAUCGUCUUUUUUGGACUGGCAAUGAUACGUUUUAAACAUUGUCAUGGAUAGACCUCAAUGUUUUAUCUCUUUUUUCUCGUAUUUUACCAGUUGUCCAAUUUUAAUUUGUGUUUUAUUAUUUGUAAAGCAACAGACCUAUUGUUGUUGUACACCAUUAUUUUUAUUUCUAUAUAGUGACAUGACAUUUAAGACUACCCAGCUCAUAUGCGAUGUGUGCAGGCCUGUUUUUUUGGCAUGGCUUUGGUUUUGGAGCGAAUCGCCUUUGUGUGAUACACAAUGCUGAAACCAACUGUCUCACAAUUAGCAUUACCUAGCCAAGACGUGCCCAGCGCACCUGGGGAACUGGGAGUGGAAGAGCGACUACUGGAUGAAUGCUUGUAUGAAAGUCGUGUAAAUGUGAAGCCCAUUGCAUAGAAAGUGUUACACCCUCACAAUACAUUGGUGUUUUUUUUUUACAUAGUGAUGUUAAAAAAUAUUCAGCUGCAUGUUCGGUCACAAAUGGUCAUGUUCGCAUAUUAAUAAUCUGUUCUGAAAGUGCAGGAAUGGAGCGUAACACUGCCCAGCAGACUUCAUCAUUGUAAUAAGUACCCUUAUCUUAUCUGCUACUUUUAUGGAAGCACCAUGUUAUUAUGGUUCAUGGAGCAUUUGUGGGCCUCCCCUGUUUUUACACCCAUGUCAAGCAGAGAAUUAACGUUGAGACUCAAAACAUGUCAUUACAAUUCCUCAUGUAAGCUGCUCCUCUGUACAUCUUACUGUGAUCAGUAAAAAUCAUAUAUCGUGUAACAUAUACGGGGGAAAUGAGACCUGUGAACAUAUGUGAUCACUGAGUUGGGGCACAAAGGAUCCAUUUCAACACGUUUAACCAGCUUUGGAGUUUAGCCCUCACCAAACAGCACUUCAAAGGCAUUUCCAUGUCAGUCAGGACUCAGAUUGCUGCAUAUGAAAGACCCGCUCUGUGCCCAGAGCUGUGCCCCCAGACCCCCCAGCUCUGAUGUUCCACAUAGUGGCACCCUUCUCCACUUUGAUGUCCACAUUGUCACCGAGUCCUAUGGAAGUAAUCGGGCGUGCUCUGUUUAUGUUUGAUCACAGCACCAGCCAGCCAGAGAUGGACAUCAUGACUGCCGUGUUUCUUGUGCGACUCCUCUGCGGGUCACUGGAGAUGACUGAGAUCAGCCGAAGAUACAUAGAAUUCACCGUGGGGUCCCCAAUGCAACAAGAACCAAAAUAAUGAUGUUGCCAAGUCGAAGCAGAGAUGGGUGUGUCUUACACGGACAGGGCUGCUGUGAGGGUCUGCAAUGUGUUGUGACUGCAGUUCUGACUGCUAGCUACAGUCAAGUCUGUUCAAUGCAUGAAUCAACUGUGCUAUUUCAGCAUGAAAAUAAGCGAUUGAGCAAGUAAAAUAUUUUGUGCCUUGGAAUUACGGAAGUGAGGAGAAUCUAGUCAAAGCUUUCUGUUUGUAAAGUAAUUGCCUCCCUCUUCUCCUCCCUCCUUCUAUUGUCAACACCUCCCCAUCUCCUCCUCCUCCACCUCCUCCACACCACUUGCUCAGGUCACAGUUGGAGGACCAGUAAGAAUACACUGUAGUACAUCCCCCAGCAUGCUGAAUGAAAGAGGUGUAAAACAACCAUUAUCAUUCACGCGUGUGUGUGUGUGUGUGUGUGUGUGUGUGUGUGUGUGUGUUCUGCAAAAUCCCUAGGGUCAGUCAAAAAUGAGUUAUUACAUUGGCAUAAUUAACUGGUCCUUGUGUUGUAACUCAUUGGUCUCAAAUACACAAACACAGCAGAGCACCCCCUGUUAACUCUUGACACUCUCUGGGAACAGCAGGCAGGUGUGACCAGUAACAACAGGAUGACAGGGUUCAAUACCUCUGCUCCCCGCUGACUUCCUCUCACACCCCAGUUCUACCACACCCAGAGCAGCGAGAGAUACAAUCCCCAGUGUGUCUGCCAGUGUAUAAUAUAUGUGCACAGAGAUAACUAAGUGUAUAUGCUGCUCUGUGUUUGGGUCUGUGCGGCUCAUGUAGGCAUGCACUCUGGUUUUAAACCCUGAAUACCUUCACUGGGUUAAUCCAUUUAACUGUAGAAGUGCUCAUCUACUCAGACAAAGGUAGUUAACCCCAAACAGUCGCUGAUAACCUCUAGGUCUAACCUGUGACCUCUGACCUUAACCCCAGGGCUCUUCAAACGAGACAUUGGCCUCUAGGGUUUCAACACAUAAAUCUUAAUGGGUUUCCUUUUUCUUUCUCUGUUAUGCUUCCUCCUUCUGCGUCUCUGUCUCUCUCUCUGGGUUCUGUGCAGGGCCGGCCCAAAAUAAUCCUUUGAGUCUGUUUCCUACAGAGCCCAUCCUGAGUUUUCACAACACAGAGCCAGAGGCUGCUGUGGCGUACACGUGAGCAGUAAACAGCACUGCAUAG